UUAUGUUUUAUGUAAUAAUACAAAAAUUAUAUUUUUAUAUAGGAUUCCGAUGCCAGUGACAGUCAGAGAGAAGCCCAGAAAAGAGGAAAAAGAAAAGAUUCUGCUGACUGGCAAGGCAGUGAAGACACUGAUUCUGAUAGUGAUGAUGAUAACAGUGAACCGUUAACUCGGUCCAGGUCUAUAAUUCCAAAUCGCACAACUUCCCGUAGACCUGUUGGCUCGUCAUUAAAAAAUUUAAGAACAAGUAAAAACUUAAACAGGUUAUCUAGGUCAUUUCAAAAUAAUCGAUCAAAUAGAAAAAAGAGAAAAAUUUCAUCAUCUAUGGAUGAAGAUUCUGAUAGUGACACAGAUGCAAAGAGAAAUUUGAGGCAGACAAAAAAGAAAAUUAGUUAUAAAGAAGAAAGCAUGGACGAAACAGAUUCUGAUGAUUUAAUUGAAGUUGAUUAUGGUGAUGCCUCUACAGAAGCAGACAAUUCAGAAACAAUUGAACGAGUUCUUGAUCAUAGAAUUGGAAAAAAAGGAGGUGAGAUAAAUUGAAUGUAAAAGCAAAGACUGAAUUAAUGGAUAAGUUUAAAGGUUUAUGUAAAAUAAUUUAAAUACAUGUAUUCUUUUAUAAUCAACAUUAAAAAUCAGAUUUCUUAUAUGAUGAUAAUUA